rnacentral:rRNA from 1 species
UACGAAGGGGGCUAGCGUUGCUCGGAAUCACUGGGCGUAAAGGGUGCGUAGGCGGGUCUUUUAAGUCAGGGGUGAAAUCCUGGAGCUCAACUCCAGAACUGCCUUUGAUACUGAGAGCUUGAGUCCGGGAGAGGUGAGUGGAACUGCGAGUGUAGAGGUGAAAUUCGUAGAUAUUCGCAAGAACACCAGUGGCGAAGGCGGCUCACUGGCCCGGCACUGACGCUGAGGUGCGAAAGCGUGGGGAGCAAACAGGG